rnacentral:rRNA from 1 species
GAUGAACGCUGGCGGCGUGCCUAAUACAUGCAAGUCGAGCGAACAGACGAGGAGCUUGCUCCUCUGACGUUAGCGGCGGACGGGUGAGUAACACGUGGAUAACCUACCUAUAAGACUGGGAUAACUUCGGGAAACCGGAGCUAAUACCGGAUAAUAUAUUGAACCGCAUGGUUCAAUAGUGAAAGACGGUUUUGCUGUCACUUAUAGAUGGAUCCGCGCCGCAUUAGCUAGUUGGUAAGGUAACGGCUUACCAAGGCAACGAUGCGUAGCCGACCUGAGAGGGGGAUCGGCCACACUGGAACUGAGACACGGUCCAGACUCCUAAGGGAGGCAGCAGGAGGGAAUCUUCCGCAAUGGGCGAAAGCCUGACGGAGCAACGGCGCGUGAGUGAUGAAGGUCUUCGGAUCGUAAAACUCUGUUAUUAGGGAAGAACAAAUGUGUAAGUAACUAUGCACGUCUUGACGGUACCUAAUCAGAAAGCCACGGCUAACUACGUG